rnacentral:rRNA from 1 species
AUUGAACGCUGGCGGCAUGCCUUACACAUGCAAGUCGAACGGUAACAGGUCUUCGGAUGCUGACGAGUGGCGAACGGGUGAGUAAUACAUCGGAACGUGCCCGAUCGUGGGGGAUAACGGAGCGAAAGCUUUGCUAAUACCGCAUACGAUCUACGGAUGAAAGCAGGGGACCGCAAGGCCUUGCGCGGACGGAGCGGCCGAUGGCAGAUUAGGUAGUUGGUGGGAUAAAAGCUUACCAAGCCGACGAUCUGUAGCUGGUCUGAGAGGACGACCAGCCACACUGGGACUGAGACACGGCCCAGACUCCUACGGGAGGCAGCAGUGGGGAAUUUUGGACAAUGGGCGAAAGCCUGAUCCAGCCAUGCCGCGUGCAGGAUGAAGGCCUUCGGGUUGUAAACUGCUUUUGUACGGAACGAAAGACUCCUUCUAAUAAAGGGGUUCAUGACGGUACCGUAAGAAUAAGCACCGGCUAACUACGUGCCAGCAGCCGCGGUAAU